UAUACUAACUCCUUAUUUUAUAAAUUUUUUUGUUACUUUUCUCAAAAUAAAUUUGUUAUCCUUCACAAGAAAAAAAAAUCGUUUUUUGCCAGCUCUCAAAAUUUAGGCAAAGAAAGACAAAGUACCAGAAAAGGAUGACAAAGAUCUAUUGUGAUACAUGUCGUGCCGGAUUUGAGACCGAAAUUUCCGAACCUAUCAAAGGAGCUAAGGUAGGGUUAGAAUGCAGAAAUAAAGAAGGUGGAAACAUUACAUACACGGCCGAGGAUAUUGUGACCGAUGAGGAUGG